AAGUAGAACGCUGAGAACUGGUGCUUGCACCGGUUCAAGGAGUUGCGAACGGGUGAGUAACGCGUAGGUAACCUACCUCAUAGCGGGGGAUAACUAUUGGAAACGAUAGCUAAUACCGCAUAAGAGAGACUAACGCAUGUUAGUAAUUUAAAAGGGGCAAUUGCUCCACUAUGAGAUGGACCUGCGUUGUAUUAGCUAGUUGGUGAGGUAAAGGCUCACCAAGGCGACGAUACAUAGCCGACCUGAGAGGGUGAUCGGCCACACUGGGACUGAGACACGGCCCAGACUCCUACGGGAGGCAGCAGUAGGGAAUCUUCGGCAAUGGGGGCAACCCUGACCGAGCAACGCCGCGUGAGUGAAGGAGGUUUUCGGAUCGUAAAGCUCUGUUGUUAGAGAAGAAUGAUGGUGGGAGUGGAAAAUCCACCAAGUGACGGUAACUAACCAGAAAGGGACGGCUAACUACGUGCCAGCAGCCGCGGUAAUACGUAGGUCCCGAGCGUUGUCCGGAUUUAUUGGGCGUAAAGCGAGCGCAGGCGGUUUUUUAAGUCUGAAGUUAAAGGCAUUGGCUCGACCAAUGUACGCUUUGGAAACUGGAGAACUUGAGUGCAGAAGGGGAGAGUGGAAUUCCAUGUGUAGCGGUGAAAUGCGUAGAUAUAUGGAGGUACACCGGUGGCGAAAGCGGCUCUCUGGUCUGUAACUGACGCUGAGGCU
rnacentral:rRNA from 1 species